rnacentral:misc_RNA from 1 species
AACUUUCGGCAAUGGAUCACUCGGCUAGCAGGUCGAUGAAGAACGCAGCUAGCUGCGUUAAACGGUGUGAAUUGCAGGACACGCUGAGCACUUGAUUUUCGAACGCACAUUGCGGCUACGGGUUCGUCCCGUAGCCUCGUCUGUCUGAGGGUCGGAUAACUUAUUGACUGUAAUACAGGCCCUCUCGUGGGGACUCCUUAACUGAGAGACUCCUCGUAGGGUUGUAAGACUGCGCUUGUCCCCGUGCGGCGGCGGUCCGAGACGUCUUGUCAGCACUUCUUGUUGCUCGCAUUCGACUUGGGCCUGUCGCGGCACUGGGCGCGCCCGACCUGGGUAGUCACUUUCCCAGUGACACACCCCACAAAGUAACUCACUUUGUCGACCUCAGAUCAGGCGAGAUUACCCGCUGAACUUAAGCAUAUCAAUAAGCGGAGGCU